GAUCUAGUGUAGAUCACCCUGCUAAGCAUCCUGUUGAGAACUCAUGGGAAGUAGACAUGCAAGGGAUUAAUUGUUAAUUCAUUGUGCUGCAACAUGAUGAACAGACAAACCAACUAAUAAAUAACUCUCCAGUGCUUCCUCAGGCAGUAUGUGAGAAGGGCAUCCAAUUGAUCUGGCGUAAUCUGAAUUAUGGAGUGAAACAUUCAGGGGAAGAGCCACUUCCUCCAAAUGGCUGAUCACUACAGGGUCAAUCUCUGUGAUGCAGCUACCUGGAACAAACUGUCAAGGCAUCCACACAAAAGAGCACAUAAUGAGGACUAGCAUUUUCAGCUAGGUCAGCCAGGCUCAAGCCUCUGGCUAUCUCUUGCCUGUAUAGGAAACAACAGUUUUCCUAUUUGGCUCAAUUCUGAAAAUAUAACUAGAACUAGAUUAAUCAUUUUUAAUACAAACCAUUCACACCUACAUCCUAAUUAUGAUUUCACACCAUAAUGGAAUUUCUGGGACGUGCCAUUCAGAAACUGACAUGGCGAGCUAACCUAAAGUUUUAAUACCUAUAAAGGUUCACACAAAGUAAGGUAACUCAAUACAGUUUGAUGUUUUAGGAUA